rnacentral:pre_miRNA from 1 species
UGUGUACUCCCUCCGUUCCAAAAUACUUUACUUCCAUUUGUCCAAAAAUGGAUGUGCCUAUAUACUAAAACAUGUCUAGAUACAUAUAUAUUUUGACAAAUAGAAGGCAUGUAUUGUGCAACGGAGGGAGUAGAAU